rnacentral:lncRNA from 1 species
GCAGAGGGAGGGAGCGAUGUGGGAGCAGCAUAUAGACUGCUGAAUUAUUCAUGUGGCCGUCCAGGCCGGGGAGCGCACUGCUCCUGUUAUUUGCAUGCAUCAGACAUGCUGUUUGUCUGUUUGCUAACAUUCCACAUUGAGAGACGUGUUAACCAGCAGACGGGCUUCACUGGAGACUUCCCACAGCCUCAUGGCCUUGCAUUGUCCCAGGCCUCUACAGGCCUGUUCUGGCUGGGACGGGGGGCGCCUGGGGGCUACAGGCCGGGACAGGGCAGAGUCUAGAGUGUAGAAAGAGGCACAACUGUGGAGCCAAGUCACCGCUAAACUGGAGCUGGCUUUUGUUCUCCUUUACUGCAAAAAUAUGGAUACACACGAGAAGAAACAUCCCAAAAAUAGUCGUAUGCCUGACUGAGAUGUUCACAGCUUCGCCAGCAAGUGCUCCCACGAAACAGAGUCACAGCACUACCCUACGCAGUCAGCCCGAGUCUGUCUCUCCUGGAGGUGAGAUGAGUUGCUGCCCUGUUGGCUGUGUGUGACCGAGGUGAGACACGUCUCCAGCGGCUGCAGCUCUGCUCUGCACAAUGUGGGUUAAACCACGAGCCCAUGCGCUGCACAAAACAAAAGGAAUUGCCAUAGUUGUUGAAUAAUGUACUCAAAUAAUCUGAAAAACCAAGAAACUAUAGCGUAAUAAUACAUAAAAAAUAAAGCAG